rnacentral:rRNA from 1 species
GACGAACGCUGGCGGCGUGCUUAACACAUGCAAGUCGAACGGAAAGGCCCUGCUUUUGUGGGGUGCUCGAGUGGCGAACGGGUGAGUAACACGUGAGUAACCUGCCCUUGACUUUGGGAUAACUUCAGGAAACUGGGGCUAAUACCGGAUAGGAGCUCAUGCUGCAUGGUGGGGGUUGGAAAGUUUCGGCGGUUGGGGAUGGACUCGCGGCUUAUCAGCUUGUUGGUGGGGUAGUGGCUUACCAAGGCUUUGACGGGUAGCCGGCCUGGGAGGGUGACCGGCCACAUUGGGACUGAGAUACGGCCCAGACUCCUACGGGAGGCAGCAGUGGGGAAUAUUGCACAAUGGGCGGAAGCCUGAUGCAGCAACGCCGCGUGCGGGAUGACGGCCUUCGGGUUGUAAACCGCUUUCGCCUGUGACGAAGCGUGAGUGACGGUAAUGGGUAAAGAAGCACCGGCUAACUACGUG